CGAUCUCGUCUGAUCUCGGAAGCUAAGCAGGGACGGGCUUGGUUAGUACCUGGAUGGGAGACCGCCUGGGAAUACCAGGUGUUGUAGGCU
rnacentral:rRNA from 1 species